rnacentral:rRNA from 1 species
GUGAACGCUGGCGGUAGUCCUAACACAUGCAAGUCGAACGGCAGCACAGUAAGAGCUUGCUCUUACGGGUGGCGAGUGGCGGACGGGUGAGGAAUACAUCGGAAUCUACUUUUUCGUGGGGGAUAACGUAGGGAAACUUACGCUAAUACCGCAUACGACCUACGGGUGAAAGCAGGGGAUCUUCGGACCUUGCGCGAUUGAAUGAGCCGAUGUCGGAUUAGCUAGUUGGCGGGGUAAAGGCCCACCAAGGCGACGAUCCGUAGCUGGUCUGAGAGGAUGAUCCGCCACACUGGAACUGAGACACGGUCCAGACUCCUACGGGAGGCAGCAGUGGGGAAUAUUGGACAAUGGGCGCAAGCCUGAUCCAGCCAUACCGCGUGGGUGAAGAAGGCCUUCGGGUUGUAAAGCCCUUUUGUUGGGAAAGAAAAGCAGCAGGUUAAUACCCCGCUGUUCUGACGGUACCCAAAGAAUAAGCACCGGCUAACUUCGUG